UACGGAGGGUGCGAGCGUUGUCCGGAAUCAUUGGGCGUAAAGGGCGCGUAGGUGGCGGGACAAGCGUGCGGUGAAAGCUCGGGGCUCAACCCCGAGUCGGCCGUGCGAACUGUCUGCUCGAGCACUGUAGAGGCAGGCGGAAUUCCGGGUGUAGCGGUGGAAUGCGUAGAGAUCCGGAAGAACACCGGUGGCGAAGGCGGCCUGCUGGGCAGUUGCUGACACUGAGGCGCGACAGCGUGGGGAGCAACAGG
rnacentral:rRNA from 1 species